UACGGGGGGGGUAAGCGUUGUUCGGAAUCACUGGGCGUAAAGGGAGCGUAGGCGGGUUCUUAAGUAAGGUGUUUAAUCCCGGGGCCCAACCCCGGACCGGCACUUUAAACUGGGAAUCUUGAAUAGUGGAGAGGUCGGUGGAAUUGGGGGUGUAGCGGUGGAAUGCGUAGAGAUCCCCAAGAACACCAGUUGCGAAGGCGGCCGACUGGACACAUAUUGACGCUGAGGCUCGAAAGCAUGGGGAGCAAACAGG
rnacentral:rRNA from 1 species